rnacentral:rRNA from 1 species
AUUGAACGCUGGCGGCAUGCCUUACACAUGCAAGUCGAACGGCAGCACGGGUGCUCGCACCUGGUGGCGAGUGGCGAACGGGUGAGUAAUAUAUCGGAACGUACCUUAUCGUGGGGGAUAACGCAGCGAAAGCUGUGCUAAUACCGCAUAAGCCCUAAGGGGGAAAGCAGGGGACCGUAUGGCCUUGCGCGAUUAGAGCGGCCGAUACCUGAUUAGCUAGUUGGUGAGGUAAAGGCUCACCAAGGCAACGAUCAGUAGCUGGUCUGAGAGGACGAUCAGCCACACUGGGACUGAGACACGGCCCAGACUCCUACGGGAGGCAGCAGUGGGGAAUUUUGGACAAUGGGGGCAACCCUGAUCCAGCAAUGCCGCGUGAGUGAAGAAGGCCUUCGGGUUGUAAAGCUCUUUUGUCAGGGAAGAAACAGCAGCUCUAAUACAGUAUGCGAAUGACGGUACCUGAAGAAUAAGCACCGGCUAACUACGUGCCAGCCGCCGCCGUAA